rnacentral:rRNA from 1 species
CUAGAGACCGGCGCACGGGUGCGUAACGCGUAUGCAAUCUACCUUUCACAGAGGGAUAGCCCAGAGAAAUUUGGAUUAAUACCUCAUAGUAUUAUAGGAUGGCAUCAUUUUAUAAUUAAAGUCACAACGGUGAAAGAUGAGCAUGCGUCCCAUUAGUUAGUUGGUAAGGUAACGGCUUACCAAGACUACGAUGGGUAGGGGUCCUGAGAGGGAGAUCCCCCACACUGGUACUGAGACACGGACCAGACUCC